rnacentral:rRNA from 1 species
AGAGUUUGAUCAUGGCUCAGAGCGAACGCUGGCGGCAGGCUUAACACAUGCAAGUCGAGCGGGCGUAGCAAUACGUCAGCGGCAGACGGGUGAGUAACGCGUGGGAACAUACCUUUUGGUUCGGAACAACACAGGGAAACUUGUGCUAAUACCGGAUAAGCCCUUACGGGGAAAGAUUUAUCGCCGAAAGAUUGGCCCGCGUCUGAUUAGCUAGUUGGUGAGGUAAUGGCUCACCAAGGCGACGAUCAGUAGCUGGUCUGAGAGGAUGAUCAGCCACAUUGGGACUGAGACACGGCCCAAACUCCUACGGGAGGCAGCAGUGGGGAAUAUUGGACAAUGGGCGCAAGCCUGAUCCAGCCAUGCCGCGUGAGUGAUGAAGGCCCUAGGGUUGUAAAGCUCUUUUGUGCGGGAAGAUAAUGACGUACCGCAAG